rnacentral:rRNA from 1 species
UUGGAGGGCAAGUCUGGUGCCAGCAGCCGCGGUAAUUCCAGCUCCAAUAGCGUAUAUUAAAGUUGUUGCAGUUAAAAAGCUCGUAGUUGAAUUUCGGGGUUAGUAGGUUGGUCAUGCCUCUGGUAUGUACUGAUCUCACUGAUUCCUCCUUCCUUAUGAACCGUAAUGCCAUUAAUUUGGUGUUGCGGGGAAUUUGGACUGUUACUUUGAAAAAAUUAGAGUGUUUAAAGCAGGCUAACGCUUGAAUACAUUAGCAUGGAAUAAUGAAGUAGGACGUUCGAUCUUAUUUUGUUGGUUUCUAGGAUUGACGUAAUGAUUAAUAGGGAUAGUUGGGGGCAUUAGUAUUCAAUUGUCAGAGGUGAAAUUCUUGGAUUUAUUGAAGACUAACUACUGCGAAAGCAUUUGCCAAGGAUGUUUUCAUUAAUCAAGAACGAAAGUUAGGGGAUCGAAGACGAUCAGAUACCGUCGUAGUCUUAACCAUAAACUAUGCCGACUAGGGAUCGGAUGAUGUUAAUUUUUUAAUGACUCAUUCGGCGCCUUACGGGAAAC